rnacentral:rRNA from 1 species
AGAACGAGCGCUGGCGGCAUGCCUAACACAUGCAAGUCGAACGAGACCUUCGGGUUUAGUGGCGCACGGGUGCGUAACGCGUGGGAAUCUGCCCUUGGGUUCGGAAUAACAGUUGGAAACGACUGCUAAUACCGGAUGAUGACGUAAGUCCAAAGAUUUAUUGCCCAGGGAUGAGCCCGCGUAGGAUUAGCUAGUUGGUGAGGUAAAGGCUCACCAAGGCGACGAUCCUUAGCUGGUCUGAGAGGAUGAUCAGCCACACUGGGACUGAGACACGGCCCAGACUCCUACGGGAGGCAGCAGUGGGGAAUAUUGGACAAUGGGCGAAAGCCUGAUCCAGCAAUGCCGCGUGAGUGAUGAAGGCCUUAGGGUGUAAAAGCUCUUUACCCGGGAAGAUAAUGACUGUACCGGAGAAUAAGCUCCGGCUAACUCCGUGCCAGCAGCCGC